rnacentral:tRNA from 1 species
ACCCGGUUGGCUCAGUGGUUUAGAGCGCGGCCACUUAUACUGAGGUCACGAGUUCGAAUCUUGUACUGGGUA